AUUGAACGCUGGCGGAAUGCUUUACACAUGCAAGUCGAACGGCAGCACGGGUGCUUGCACCUGGUGGCGAGUGGCGAACGGGUGAGUAAUGCACCGGAACGUAUCCAAUAAUGGGGGAUAACGCACCGAAAGGUGUGCUAAUACCGCAUACGCCCUGAGGGGGAAAGCGGGGGGAUCGUAAGACCUCGCGUUAAUGGAGCGGCCGAUGCCGGAUUAGCUAGUUGGUGAGGUAAAGGCUCACCAAGGCGACGAUCCGUAGCUGGUCUGAGAGGACGACCAGCCACACUGGAACUGAGACACGGUCCAGACUCCUACGGGAGGCAGCAGUGGGGAAUUUUGGACAAUGGGCGCAAGCCUGAUCCAGCCAUUCCGCGUGAGUGAAGAAGGCCUC
rnacentral:rRNA from 1 species